UUUGUUGCCAGCGGUCCGGCCGGGAACUCAAAGGAGACUGCCAGUGAUAAACUGGAGGAAGGUGGGGAUGACGUCAAGUCAUCAUGGCCCUUACGACCAGGGCUACACACGUGCUACAAUGGCGCAUACAAAGAGAAGCAAUCUCGCGAGAGCUAGCGGACCUCAUAAAGUGCGUCGUAGUCCGGAUUGGAGUCUGCAACUCGACUCCAUGAAGUCGGAAUCGCUAGUAAUCGUGAAUCAGAAUGUCACGGUGAAUACGUUCCCGGGCCUUGUACACACCGCCCGUCACACCAUGGGAGU
rnacentral:rRNA from 1 species